rfam:Tetrapisispora blattae CBS 6284 chromosome 4, complete genome
UCCUUGUUAGCUCAGUUGGUAGAGCGUUCGGCUUUUAAGAAAUUUCUUAAGCAAGGAUACCGAAAUGUCAGGGGUUCGAGCCCCCUAUGAGGAG